rnacentral:rRNA from 1 species
AUUGAACGCUGGCGGCAGGCCUAACACAUGCAAGUCGAGAAGAGCGGCGGACGGGUGAGUAAUGCCUAGGAAUCUGCCUGGUAGUGGGGGAUAACGUCAGGAAACGGGCGCUAAUACCGCAUACUAUCAGAUGAGAGUAGGUCGGAUUAGCUAGUUGGUGGGGUAAAGGCCUACCAAGGCGCCGAUCCGUAACUUGUCUGAGCGGAUGAUCAGUCACACCGGAACUGAGACACGGUCCAGAUCCCGACGUGAGGCAGCCGUGAGGAAUAUUUGACCAUGUGCUAAAGCCUGAUCCGUCCAUGCCGCGUGUGUGAAGAAGGUCUUCGAAUUGUAAAGCACUUUAAGUUGGGAGGCGUUACCAACAGCAUAAGCACCGGCUAACUUCGUGCCAGCCGCCGCGGUAAUAC